CCUACGGGAGGCAGCAGUGAGGAAUAUUGGUCAAUGGGCGAGAGCCUGAACCAGCCAAGUCGCGUGAGGGAGUACUGCCCUAUGGGUUGUAAACCUCUUUUGUCGGGGAGCAAAAGCCGUACGUGUCCGGCUGUGAGAGUACCCGAAGAAAAAGCAACGGUAAACUCCGUGCCAGCAGCCGCGGUAAUACGGAGGAUGCGAGCGUUAUCCGGAUUUAUUGGGGUUAAAGGGUGCGCAGGCGGAUUUUUAAGUCAGCGGUCAAAUCGUGGGCGUAAACCCCAGCCAGCCGUUGAAACUGGGGAUCUUGAGUGUGCGAGAGGUAUGCGGAAUGCGUGGUGUAGCGGUGAAAUGCAUAGAUAUCACGCAGAACCCCGAUUGCGAAGGCAGCAUGCCGGUGCACAACUGACGCUGAGGCACGAAAGCGUGGGUAUCGAACAGGAUUAGAUACCCCAGUAGUC
rnacentral:rRNA from 1 species